GACGAACGCUGGCGGCGUGCUUAACACAUGCAAGUCGAACGGAAAGGCCUGCUUUCCCUUGUGGAUUGCGGGUACUCGAGUGGCGAACGGGUGAGUAACACGUGAGUGAUCUGCCCCCAACUUGGGUAUAAGCCUGGGAAACUGGGUCUAAUUCCCGAUAGGACUGCAGGGUGGUGCCUGUGGUGGAAAACGAUUUUCUAGUGGUUGGGGAUGAGCUCGCGGCCUAUCAGCUUGUUGGUGGGGUAAUGGCCUACCAAGGCGGCGACGGGUAGCCGGCCUGAGAGGGUGGACGGCCACAUUGGGACUGAGAUACGGCCCAGACUCCUACGGGCGGCAGCAGUGGGGAAUAUUGCACAAUGGGCGGAAGCCUGACGCAGCGACGCCGCGUGGGGGAUGACGGCCUUCGGGUUGUAAACUCCUUUCGACCGCGAGGAAGCCACCUGGUUGGAAGGGUGGUGACGGUAGUGGUAGAAGAAGCACCGGCUAACUACGUG
rnacentral:rRNA from 1 species